AGAGUUUGAUCCUGGCUCAGAAUGAACGCUGGCGGCGUGCCUAACACAUGCAAGUCGAACGAGAAAUUCAGGGCUUGCCCUGGAGAGUAAAGUGGCGCACGGGUGAGUAACGCGUGGGUAAUCUGCCCUUUUGUUUGGGAUAACAUUGCGAAAGUGGUGCUAAUACCAAAUAAUACCGGUAGGACUUUGGUUUUUCCGGUCAAAGAUGGCCUCUUCAUGAAAGCUGUCGCAGAGGGAUGAGCCCGCGUACCAUUAGCUUGUUGGUGAGGUAACGGCUCACCAAGGCAACGAUGGUUAGCUGGUCUGAGAGGAUGACCAGCCACACUGGAACUGGAACACGGUCCAGACUCCUACGGGAGGCAGCAGUGAGGAAUUUUGCGCAAUGGGGGAAACCCUGACGCAGCAACGCCGCGUGAGUGACGAAGGCUUUCGGGUCGUAAAGCUCUGUCAAGUGGGAAGAAUAAACUCUAUGUGAAUAGCGUAGGGAAAUGACGGUACCGCUAGAGGAAGCACCGGCUAACUCCGUGCCAGCAGCCGCGGUAAUACGGAGGGUGCAAGCGUUGUUCGGAAUUAUUGGGCGUAAAGCGCGUGUAGGCGGUCUGGUAAGUCAGAUGUGAAAGCCCUUGGCUUAACCAAGGAAGUGCAUUUGAAACUGCCUGACUUGAGUACGGGAGAGGAAAGUGGAAUUCCCAGUGUAGAGGUGAAAUUCGUAGAUAUUGGGAGGAACACCGGUGGCGAAGGCGACUUUCUGGACUAGUACUGACGCUGAGACGCGAAAGCGUGGGGAGCAAACAGGAUUAGAUACCCUGGUAGUCCACGCUGUAAACGAUGGGUACUAGGUGUAGAGGGUAUUGACCCCCUCUGUGCCGUAGCUAACGCAUUAAGUACCCCGCCUGGGGAGUACGGUCGCAAGACUAAAACUCAAAGGAAUUGACGGGGGCCCGCACAAGCGGUGGAGCAUGUGGUUUAAUUCGACGCAACGCGAAGAACCUUACCUGGGUUUGACAUCCCCUGACAGCUCCGGAAACGGAGUCUUCCCUUCGGGGACAGGGAGACAGGUGCUGCAUGGCUGUCGUCAGCUCGUGUCGUGAGAUGUUGGGUUAAGUCCCGCAACGAGCGCAACCCCCUUCUUUAGUUGCCCUUACUUCGGGUAGGCACUCUAAAGAUACCGCCUCGGUUAACGGGGAGGAAGGUGGGGAUGACGUCAAGUCCUCAUGGCCCUUAUAUCCAGGGCUACACACGUGCUACAAUGGACUGUACAAAGGGCUGCAAUCUCGCGAGGGUGAGCAAAUCCCAAAAAGCAGUUCUCAGUUCGGAUUGGAGUCUGCAACUCGACUCCAUGAAGGUGGAAUCCUAGUAAUCGUGGAUCAGCAUGCCACGGUGAAUACGUUCCCGGGCCUUGUACACACCGCCCGUCACACCACGAAAGUUGGCUGUACCAGAAGUUGCUGAGCUAACCAGCAAUGGAGGCAUGCACCUAAGGUAUGGUCAAUGAUUGGGGUGAAGUCGUAACAAGGUA
rnacentral:rRNA from 1 species